rnacentral:rRNA from 1 species
GACGAACACUGGUUGCGCUGCUUAACUCUUGUCCGUCAAACCAAGAGCUAUGGACUCUUGCUUCUAUCAUUCUUAAUGGCGAACCGGAGAAUAACUGGUUUUCUACCUGCCCUUCCCACGGGGACAACUGGUUGGAAUCUACUGCUAAUACCGCAUAACAUCUAAUCUCCCCCUCAAGGAUAGAUGAAAGGUGGCCUCUACAUGUCACCUAUCCUUGAGAUGAGUGGGAUUGCGUCUGAUUAGCUAGUUCGAUGGGUAACGGCCCAGCAAAGGGAUGAUCUCUAUCCGGUCUGAAACGAUGAACCGCCACAUUGGGACUGACACACGGCCCACACUCCUACUGUAGGCGUCCCUGUUGAAUCUUCCACCCUGGACUAAAGUCUGACUGACCUGCUCCACGUGAGUGAUGACUGCCUUCUUGUUGCAAAGCUCUGUUAAUCAUCACCAAAUGGCUUCUUGCCAAUACUGAUAAUGAUUGACUGUACCUUAAUACAAAGCCCCCGCUAACUACGUGUCCAGCAGCCGCGCUUAUACUAUUGGUGGCAAGCGUAGUCCGGAAUUAUUGGACGUAAAUCACGCGCAUGCACUAUCGGUCAGUAUGUCUCAUAAGUUCGGGGCUUAACACCGAGAUGUGAUGGAAACUGCCAAUCUAGAGUAUCGGAGACGAAAGUGGAAUUGCUAGUGCAGCGGUGAAAUGCGUAGAUAUUAGGAAGAACACCAGUGGCGAAGGUGACUUUCUGCACGAAAAAUUACGUUGAGGUGCGAAACCCAGGGGAGCGACCGUGAUAAGAUACCCCGGUAGUCCAGGCCGUAAGCGAUGGGUUCUAUGUGUAGGAGGCAUCGACCCCUUCUGUGCCGGAGUUAACGCAAUAAGUACCCCCCCUGGGGAGUACGACCGCAAGGUUGAAACUCAAAGGAAUUGACGGGGGCCCGCACAACCGGGGAAGAAUGUGUGUUUAAUUCAACCCACCGCGAAGAACCUUACCAGGUCUUGACUUUGAUGGACAGAACCAGAGAUGCUUCCUGCUCUUCGGAAGCCAGAAAACAGGUGGUGCACGGAAGUCGUCAGCUCGUCUUGCGAGAUGAUUGGGUAAGUCCUGCAACGAGCGCAACCCCUAUUCAACGUUUCCAGCAAGUAAAGGAGGGUAGUCAUGAGAGACUUCUGCAGCCAAAGCGGAGGAAUGCGGGGAUGACGUCAAAUCAUCAUGCACGUUAGAAGAUGGGCUACACUCGUACUACAAUGGGAGUUAAUAGACGGAAGCAAGAUCGCGAGAUGUAGCAAACCCGAGAACCACUUUCUCAGUUUGGAUCGUAGGUUGCACCUUGCUUAGCAGAAGUAGGAAUCGUUAGUAAUGGCAGGUCAGCGUAAGGCGGUGAACAAGUUCCCGGUCUG